UACGUAGGGUGCGAGCGUUGUCCGGAAUUAUUGGGCGUAAAGAGCUUGUAGGCGGCUUGGUAGGUCCGCUGUGAAAACUCGAGGCUCAACCUCGAGAUGUCGGCGGAAACCACUUGGCUAGAGUCCGGAAGAGGAGAGUGGAAUUCCCGGUGUAGCGGUGAAAUGCGCAGAUAUCGGGAAGAACACCUAUGGCGAAGGCAGCUCUCUGGGACGGUACUGACGCUGAGACGCGAAAGCGUGGGGAGCGAACAGG
rnacentral:rRNA from 1 species